UUCCGGUUGAUCCUGCCGAAGGUUACUGCUAUUGGAGUUCGAUUAAGCCAUGCGAGUCAAGGGGACUUCGGUCACCGGCGGAAUGCUCAGUAACACGUGGACAAUCUGCCCUCGGGUGGGGAAUAAACCCGCGAAAGUGGGGCUAAUACCCCAUAGGCACAGGAGGCUGGAAUGCAUCUGUGCCCAAAGCUCCGGCGCCCGAGGAUGAGUCUGCGGCCUAUCAGGUAGUAGUCAGGGUUAUGACCUGACUAGCCAGCGACGGGUACGGGCCUUGAGAGAGGUCGCCCGGAGAUGGACUCUGAGACACGAGUCCAGGCCCUACGGGGCGCAGCAGGCGCGAAAACUUCGCAAUGCAGGAAACUGUGACGAGGGAACUCCAAGUGUCCAUGCAUUGCAUGGACUGUUUGCCAGCCUAAAUAGCUAUUAGAGUAAGGGGUGGGCAAGACCGGUGCCAGCCGCCGCGGUAACACCGGCACCUCGAGUGGUAGCCACUAUUAUUGGGCCUAAAGCGUUCGUAGCCGGUUUGGUAAAUUCUUGGGUAAAUCGUACCGCUUAACGGUGCGGAUUCCGGGGACACUACCAGACUUGAGACCGGGGGAGAUCAGAGGUACUUGCGGGGGAGCGGUGAAAUGUUGUAAUCCCGCAGGGACCACCAGUGGCGAAGGCGUCUGAUCAGAACGGCUCUGACGGUGAGGAACGAAACCCUGGGGCGCAAACGGGAUUAGAUACCCCGGUAGUCCAGGGCGUAAACGCUGCUGACUUGGUGUUGGGGAUCCUACGAGGAUGUCCAGUGCUGGCGCGAAGGUAUUAAGUCAGCCGCCUGGGGAGUACGGUCGCAAGGCUGAAACUUAAAGGAAUUGGCGGGGGAGCACUGCAACCUGAGGAUUGUGCGGUUUAAUUGGAUUCAACGCCGGA
rnacentral:rRNA from 1 species